AAAAUUUCCAAACCAGCUGGAAUGUAAUAUAUAAGCACAAAACACAUAAUUUGAAAUUAAAAAUAAAUUUGGAUGUCUAAAACAUUCAUUUAAAAAGAAAUUAUGACUAUUAGAAUAAAAUUAAAAUAUAGAAUAAAAUAUUUAAUUUUCUAAUAAAACAAUAUUUUUAAGAACACUGCAUAAAUAAUUUUUAUAGCGUAAAAGCAAAAUAAAUUCCUACAUACAAUAGUACAGAUAACCAAAGUAUAAAAUUUAAUUUACAGUGACACGUGGGCCCACGAUGACUAAAAGUAUCAAAAGAAAUGAACCUAUAGUUUUUGGAUGUGGUAAGUCCAACUGUAGUCUUCAUCGAUAUCAGUUAUCUACAAUCUAUUCUGAGCCUAAAAUGGGUGGAAAGGAGGGUGGUGAGAUUAUGAAAUCCCAGUGAGUAAACAAACAUCAUUCAAAAUAUUUAAAGUCGAGCAAAAUGAGACUAUUAAAACAUUUCAUAAAACUGUAAUUUAUCACCUUUCAACUUAUUUCAACCAAAUGAAAUCAAUUUAUUUAAAUCAAGUAAUCAGUAUGGCUUAUGAAUUUCUUAAAAGCUUGGCUCAUGCCAAAAAUUAUUAUCAUACUCAGUUAUUUGGGAUACCUUGGCCGAGGGCUAUCCCAAUUGAGUCUGCCAAGGCUAUUAAAAAGUCAUGUUUUAUUUUGAAAACAUAGUCGUUCCUUGGCAUUGGCCGAGCUCCCUCUCACGUGGUGGUUUGGCGUGAAGUGAACUCUAAAAGUUAUACCUCGGGAGUUACCCUACUCGCCUCUCCAACCGAGGUAAAAUAUAACGGGGUUUACCGUGCCCUUCUAAUAGGCUAGUCCACGAAAAUUCGCCUACUGCAGUAAGCUAAUAAUUAUCCCACCAAUCAAUAAAAGUCAAUAACAUGAUAUGGCAAUUAUUAUAAUUCACAGCCAUUCAAGGCUAAAUACACAUUUCAUAUAUUUCAACACGAAUAUCAAUUCAGCCAUUCAUGCAAAUAUUGUUAUAAGCCAUUUGAUUCAAAUAAUAAAUUUUACAACAUAACAAGUGGUCUCCAAUUACUCUAUUUUUCAAAAUCAUUAUUCAAUUUCAAGACAAUUUAUAAAAUCUUUUCAUGUAAACACAUUUUGUUUGUAAAACACAAAGAUUUACCAUUUAAACUCAUUUUCAUAAAAUUUCACCAAAACCGAUUAAAAACAUACUUUAGAUAAUUAAAAUGAUGGUAAGGUUACUCACAGUACUAGGAGUUCGAUAUACUCCUAUUUUCGGUCUUCGAGCACAAUCUCUUUACCCUUGUUAGAGGGCUCACCACCUAUACAUCAUAAGUGACACGAAUUUCAAUAAAUUGUGUCAAUUUAUCAUAAACUAUUUCAGGCUCUAUAAAUCUGCAUGAAUGCACGAAAUGCGAUGCAAAAUGUCCGAAUAGCCAUUUAAAUACGGUAUUCGAUCUAAUUUGCACUAUUCUCGAUGUAAUUGGCUAAAACCUCCAAUUUAACUCCAAAUCAAUUUCUUUCACUUUCUACACUCCAAUUAUACCUAAAUUACCUCAGUGACUGUGAAUGAGAUUCAAUUUAUCAGUCCCAGGUCAAUAAUCACACAUGUCUAUACAUUAGGUAAAAAUUCAGAUUUUCACACCAAAAUUUCCCAUUUAAUUUCUAGCCUCACCAAACAUCAAAUAUCACCAAAAUAUCAUGAAAUAUCAUCAAUUUCAGCCACAAUAUCCUCCCUAGAAAAUUCGGCCAAUGAUGGUAAUGGGGGAAAAUGAAUUCUUUUCUUGUUGUUUUGUUUCUAAAUAUGCUAAACUAACUAAAAACACUAACAUAACUUAAAAUCAAAUCAAUCCAACAUCUUUCUCUCUCCAUACCCAUUUUGACCAGCCAUGAAUUCACCAUGAAAACAUGAAAUCUAACCAUAAAAAAUAAGGAGAAAUGCAUGGGAAAGGUAGAUCACAAGUCAAAAUCAAGAAAUUUUACCUUUGAUUGCUUGAUUCCUUGAAAUCCACUAAUUUUCCUUUGAAUUUUCCCACUUAGGGUUCUUGUUUUUCUUUUCUCCCUUUGUUAUUCCUUUGCUCUUGGUUUGGCCGGC
rnacentral:lncRNA from 1 species